AAGACUGUGCUUCAUAGGAUCAUUUCUAUAGGCUAGUUUUCAUCUCUACUUUCGCAAAGUGGAGUAAACUCAACCCACGAUGAUGAGUCGAAGUGUCCGUCCUGGAGCGUGAAACUGGCAGACUUGGCUGUGUCUCUGACGCGUCAAUCUUGCUUUGAUGAUCGUUUUCCUUUCCAAGGGGCGGACGCAUUCUGAGUGGU
rfam:Anopheles sinensis unplaced genomic scaffold AS2_scf7180000696056, whole genome shotgun sequence.